GACGAACGCUGGCGGCGUGCCUAAUACAUGCGAGUCGAACGAACCGCGACUAGGUGCUUGCACUUGGUCAAGGUGAGUGGCGAACGGGUGAGUAACACGUGGGUAUCCUACCUCAUAGUGGGGGAUAACAGUCGGAAACGACUGCUAAUACCGCAUAGGACAUAGGAUCACAUGAUUCUGUGAGGAAAGGUGGCGCAAGCUAUCGCUAAGAGAUGGACCCGCGGUGCAUUAGCUAGUUGGUAGGGUAAAGGCCUACCAAGGCGAUGAUGCAUAGCCGACCUGAGAGGGUGAUCGGCCACAUUGGGACUGAGACACGGCCCAAACUCCUACGGGAGGCAGCAGUAGGGAAUCUUCCGCAAUGGACGCAAGUCUGACGGAGCAACGCCGCGUGAGUGAAGAAGGUCUUCGGAUCGUAAAGCUCUGUUGUUAGAGAAGAACAGCGCAUAGAGUAACUGUUAUGCGUGUGACGGUAUCUAACCAGAAGGCCACGGCUAACUACGUG
rnacentral:rRNA from 1 species